GAAAGGAGACAGAGACAACAGGGGACAGAGGUGGUACAACAGGUCUUGAUCGAGUGGUAGGAAGGUGGCAGAGAGGGCGCAACCUGGGAAGAUGUGGCUACUAUUCAAGAUCAGUAUCCUAAGUUCAACCCUUUGGGACAAGGUUGUUGAAGGAAAGAGGGGUAAUGUUAGAGGAUUACUUGUAUAGAACAAGGAAAAACGUUACAUAGCCUAACUGCCAAGGUAGUUAAGAAAGGCAGGAAGGGGGUUUGUAUAUAGGGGAAUGGGUGUAAUUGUAAGAGUCAGUUUUUGAGAUAAUAUUAGCUUGACAGGAAAUUGUUUGUCCUGUAGGGGGAGGUUAAGCUCUCUGGGACUAUUGUACUUUGUAUUCUUGAUUGAUUGGUAAUACAAAGGGAGUUAUACGGCGUAUUCGGUUGUGUUGUUUGAGUGUGUGAGGUGUGUUUUCCAUAGGUUCUUGAUUAGGAACCUAUCAAUAUACCUCAUGAAUUCACUUAAGUUUAGUUUAUUAGCUACUACGAGAUAGUUUGAAAUUUGAAACAUGUGGAUCAUAGUCCUCAAGAAUUUGGUUGUGAUUUAGCUUGCAUUGUUAUACUUUGCUAUUUUAGUGUUUUUCUAAUAAAAAUCACAUGUUAGGCAUCAAUAUGACUUAUUUCUUUUAGUUUGCUUUAGCAUAAAGUUUUAAUGUUGAAUUUUUAUAUAGUUUACAUGUUGUUUGGAUAUUGGGUGUUUUAAUUAUUAUUUUUUCAGUAUUGUGAUGUAGAAGUGUGCAGAAGCUCUAUUGGAGACUGAUAUGAUCAUAGAUGGGGCAACAAUGAAGAGCUUUUAGAGUGACAAAAAGGAGUAGAACAGGUUUCAUAGGCGUGUAUUUGCCUCUUUGAUUUCUUUCCUUUAGUUCUAGUGAAUAAACGUUUAUAAACUCUUCUUUCUCUUUAAGAACAAGCAAUGUGAGACUCU
rnacentral:lncRNA from 1 species